AGUUCCUCCUCUGCCAAGAAGAUGCCACAGAGCUCUCCCUUGUCAUGGGCCACCAGAAGCAAAAGCUGAUCUGCCACCAAGGGGACUUCAUCAGUUUUUCAAUGGCUGCUGUGGACCCAUGGAUGAAGGUUAAACUCAUGCUGAGCUUAGGACUGCAAAGAGCCUAGAACUGAUCUUAUGGGUCACUGGAACAUUGCACUCAUGCGGUUAAAAUGUUGUUUUUAUUAACUUGCCAGUGUAUGUUUAUUCAAGCAGCAAUAUCAACCUCAUAUAUAAUCUUAGAACAAGUAAAGCUAUAUUGUUGAGGCAGACAUUAAAUAUUUUGAAUAUAAAUAAUGUAUGGUAUACUCUCUCAAUGAUCCAAUCUGAAGCCCUGGCACUGAUCUGGAGAAUAAUAAAUCUGAUGGCACAAAAAAAUAGUUAAACAAAUUUAUAUUAUGGGGAAUAUAAUGACUGAUAUCCAUUAACUAGAUGAUCCAGCUGCAGUCCUGAAUCCUUAAACUACUGAUUGUUGAAAGCCAGAAUGAUUUUACAAGGGAAGUGGCCCUGGAAUUCACUUCUGACUCCUUUAGUAGGGAGUAUGUUAGAUUGAUAGAUGAAUCUAACAUGCAGGAAGGCUUAUUUAUGUUCUUAUAAACAGUGAUAACCAGAAUUUCCACAACAGUCUUUUCUGGCAGAAAAGAAAGAAGGAAAAAAAAGACAAAAAACAUUCCAUAAGCCUUUGCAAUGAAAAUAAUGUUUCUAGAUGUAUACUUAAGCCCUAUCCAAUCCUCUUCAAAUGCUUCCUUUACCAGAUAAUUCCCUUGUCCUGAGAACAAGGGAACAAACAAUAUGUGACCUGUCCUUGCAUCCAGAAUAGCCACUGUUGGAAGGUAUCCAGGAUCUGGAAUGAUGAUCAUGGUACAAAACUGAAGGUGGAAGUCUUAAACAUAUGACAUUUGAGGCAAGGGAAAAGCUGGAGAUAGGAAUUACAUCUUUGAGUAAGCAAUGGUCUCUCAAGGAAAAGUACUACAGUGGUAAAUUUAUCACCUAAUUUCCCCUUGCUCUAAAUGCUAGGAGUUUUAAUAAAAAAUAUUGCUCUUGUAAAAUAGAAAACAACCAACCAAACACACAAAAAAUCAAACCACUUUUAGUGAAUGAAAUAGCCUUGCCUCAAAAGCUGAAGUCCUUUAGCUGUUCUUGCAGCAGGCACAGUGGGGGGAGCCAAGAGGCCACCAAUGUGCCUCAAGCACUUCUCAGAGGACAAAUAAUUAUUUGUUUAAUUAAACAGGUUUAAUGCCUGUUUAAUUACUUGGUAUUUCUUACUUUGACUGUCAUCUAGAACAAAAAAAAAUAUUUAAUGAUAUCCUGGCUUGCCUUGAUUUCGUUUUCUGACUGUAAUCUUUCCACAAUGAGAUUGUGAUAUCUCCCAGACUUCUCCUGGCUGAAGACUGAGUGGGCUGUGAAGUGUCCUUAAGCUAUCUUAAGCCAUGGAACACUCAUUAUUGGCCACAUGAAGGUUUUUAAUGUCUGUGCAGGUGAAUGCAGAAUUAAUUUUCUGUCUAAUUAGCAUUUGUAUUCUUGGAUACAUGUGUGAUUCUAUUUAGAAAUUAUAUUUUGCAAAACCAUCAAUCUACCUCACACCUCUUCCUUGAUUUUUAUUGCUAUUAAUAUAAGUAAGAAAGAGGUGAUAGGAAUGCAAAUAACUACAUUUAUCUUCCAAGAAUCUCAUUUCUCCUUAUUGAAUUUUAUCUAUGAAAAUGAAAUUAUGUAUUUGCAACUUCACACCUGCAAACUACAGAAAUUUACCUCACUUCUUUGACAAGCUGAGAAGGAACAUCUGGGAAAACCAAGCCAGAAUGUGAGCAGUUGGAAAUUUGAUUGCAAGAGAAUAUAAAUUCUUCCCUUAAAUAGAAUUUACAAAUUAAAACUAUUUUCUGAGGAUGUCCAUGUCCCUCAUUAAAGGUACUUUAUGAUUCUUAAAAAUGGAACUAUCUCUUAACUCAAAUUUUAUAUUAAGAUGUUCCAAUAGCUACUUCCUUCUUUCUUCUUGGUUAUGUUAAUUUACCUUGUGUUCAUUGCCCCUUUUCAUUUACCUGAGAGUGCACUUCUAGAUAAGACCAUGAUUUUAUUAUUUUAUGGCUAUUUGUGUAAUGGUAAAAUCAAAAAGGUGAUGUCAGAAUUUGGCUCUCCCUAUUUCCAAAUGUGUUGACUCUAAUUAAAGGUGACUGUGACAUAACCUCAGGUUCAGCAGAUCAAGGCUCACUGUUCUUUGCAGCCUUUUGCUACAAAGCCACAUGGAGCAAGAAGAGCAUCUAAAAUUCCCUCUUGAUUGCAAAGAUUUCUUGUUUACCAUUUUGACAAAUAUUUUACUUAUUUGGAAACCUCAUAUAAGAUAGCAAAUUACAUCAAUAAUUUUAGCAACUGUAAUCUUAAAAUAUUUAUAUCUUGUGCAUGGGGUUCCUACAGUACAGGAGAACAUGAUUUGGAGGUGGCAGAUGACAACACUUUUUUAAGAACCCAGGUGAUCAGGGCAUGUAUUUUACCACUAAAUAAACUUAAUAACCUUCCUGAACACUCCCAAGUGACCUGCUGUGCUCCAGUGAAGUUACCAAAAUCAGUUGUUUAGCCUGAAGGAGGGCCAGACCAUGUGAACACAUGGAAUUUCACAGAACAUACAGACAAGCCCAAUAGUGAUGAUUUCAACGGUGGUUGUAUAGACAUCUAGCUGUUCCUUUCAUUCCUUUUAUUUUUAAAAAUGAAUUAAUUCAGUGUUAUUUCAUCCCCUACAACUGUUGGAAUACCCAUGAGUUUGGCUAUCAAGUUAAAAAGAAACUUUAUGGAGACCACCCAGAAUCUGUCCUUGGUUAUCCAGGGCAACAGAACUUUAAUGAAAGAUUUUCUUUUACCCCUGUUUUUGUCUUAAGUUUAAAAGGGAAGGAGAGACCUUUUAGCAUUUAGGCAGCUGCCCAGACAGUAGCUUGCUCUGUCAGUCAGCUUGGCCCACACUCUCUGACUUCCCUUAUCUUAAUUCCAAACUCUCUAACAGUAAUGUUAAGUACUCAAAACUCUAAGCCACUUUUGAUCUUUUUAUUAAAAAAAACACAACAGUUCUGGGUGGUUGGAUUUUGAAGAUGCAUAUAUCUCCUGUUCGUGAUUUACUUGUUCUUGGCCUUAAGAAGUGUAUUGGAAGGUACCAUUAACUGCAGGAACUUGUUUAUUUGACUUCUGAAACCCUGGUUCUUGCAUGAAUCAGCCUCAUUUCUGCUCUCUUCUCAGAAUGAUCUGAACAUAAAGCAAUAAAUGCCUUUACCUGCUUUUGCUGGUAAAAGGAGCAUCUCUGCUCUUUGCCAACACAGUCUUUAAAACAGCAGUAAUCGGCAGUGUUCUUUAUCUUGUUUCUGAAUUCAGAUUAUCUUUAUUUUUCAAGCAUUUUGAUUAAACCAGAAAAAAGGGAACUUAAACAAAGGAGCCUACAUUGAAGAGUGGAAUAUGACAAUCUAUUUAGGGAGUCUCCUUUGAUUUUUAUUUGAGAACAAUGCUAAGUUUCUUAUUAUUAGGCCAAAUUUCACUGUCAUUACACUGGCAUGUUAAUAAAAGGCAGUGUGAUUGUAGAACUGCAAUUGAAUUCCACAAGAGUGACAUGGCACAGUCAGAAAGAUUAGUUUGUAAAUCCUCUGUAAACACUAUCUGCAGGACAGUGAACAAGAGAGUUUUAACAGUGUCAGAGCAGAGUGCAAUGGUUGACCAGAAAUUCUGAUUACAACAGAAUUCUGAUUACAAACAGAAAUUCUGGAUUACAAAGACACUUUAAGAUUCAUCAGACCUUUGGAGCUCAUUUCCUGCAUUAUGACCCAGGACACUUGACAGGUUACAAAGAAACCUUGCAGACAAUUCAUGCCCAUGACCCAAAUGUGACACGAGAGCUCAGUCUGACCUUGGAAUCACAGCCUGGUUUUUGUCACCAGGACUGCCCUAGCUUUGCUCAGUUUUGAUUAGGAGAUUUAUCCAGAAGUUUAUGGUAAGUAUUUUUCCUUCUCUUCCCCUCUAUUCUCUCUCCCUGUAGUUAAUAGCAUUGUAGAAAUAGAAACAGCAAAGAGUUCAUCUGACGCAAAUGCUUUACAAGCACCUCUAAAUUGUGAUCAUACCAAAUUUGCAUGCCUGCCAUCUGCACAAAAACCCUGUCUUUGCUCCAGCAAAGCUGACUUGCUGAACUUACAGUCUCUAGAUCUGUACAGCUCUGCCCCAUUGCAUGUGCAAACACAGACAGUGGGGACAGCAGCAGCUGAGUGUGUCCGUUCAAGGGCAGAAUGCAGUCUUAAGCUUUAAUAAUAAUACUUGUGGCAAUAUGUAACAUUUAAAUAAGCCUUUUCAUCUUCAAAGUCCUCUGCAGGCACACGAAUUUACCCAGCAUCUCACUGGUGUGGCUAUUAUUAGCAUAAUUUUACAGAAGCAGCCAGGGGACAAAGAAAAACAAUGAGAUUUGCCCAGGGCAACUAGUGGGAUCACAAGCAGAGAGGUUAUUGUAAAUUGGCAUUACCUGGGAACUCCAUUUAGAGAUCAUCAGAAAGAAUAACAUAGGAAUAUGUGUUCAAAGAACUACACAGAGUUUGGGCACCGUGUGCAUGAUAUGCUUUUCACUAACAAUUAUGGAUAUACCCCAGCCAUUAAACUAACAAGAGUAAAAGGGGGAAAUUUGGAAAUUUUAACCAGUGAAAGCCAUCCAAAAUUCUCCUGUUGGCAGUUCAGUGUUGCUCAGUGCAUUGUGAUGUAGAUUUGAUUUAUUUUUUUGCAGAGAAGUGCAGCGCACUGCAGGGAAUGUGAAAUAUCACCUCCACUGCACAUUGAUUUAAACCACACAGAGUUAAACUGCAACAAUCUAGUGGAUUCUGAUCUAGCCAUCCUUCUCUAAAUAUAUGAUAAAUCUUUUUAUUUUUAAGGUAUUUCAUUUUCAUGGGAGUAAAUUCCUGUGCAAAAGCUGAAAUGUAAAGGAGUAUCAAAACUAUAUUACAGUAGCUGAAAUACUAAUGCACUGUGUCCUGGACUGUACCUCCCUCAGACACAUGACAUGGUUUUGAUCUAAGCUUUGGGGAAUAAUGUGGACAAAAAGCCUUUUCAAAAACAGAGAAUAAAAAUGGUCUUAUUUGAAAUUUGAGUAUAACAGCUGAAAAAAGCACCACCCUCAUCUUUAUUAGCCUGCUAUUCAAUCCACAUGAAGCAAAGACAUUGUAACGCUGCUAUUAUCACCCCACUGGAAGUGGAGUGGGAAUAAAUGGAAAGAAACACAUUACAUGCAGUCCAAGAGACCUGAUCCUGAAUUGAGCUGAGCUUCUUAUUCUAAGCCAGGAUCUUUUUAGCUCUCCUUGACCUCAGCGAGAAAUUUGGGCGCCCCAGAGCUACUGCACAGUAUUCUUUAUUCUUACAACUAUAGGAUAGGUGCACUGAAAAAUACAUUUAAAAGACACAAAAAAAACCACCAAACAAAAAAAGUAUUUACUCUUUUUUUGUUUGUUUUAUUCUUACAUCUAAAUAUAUUACCCCUGCCAACAUAAAGGUAUGGCAGCUGAACAUUAUGUGAAAUAUAAAAAUCAUGUCUAUUUUGUCUAGGAUUUUUAAAUUGCCUAAGGUUAAGAAUAUUCUGCAGGGAAAAAAAAAAAAAAAGCAAAAAAAAAAAAAAAAAAAAGCAUAUAAUCCUUCCAGAAGUGGAUUUGUGCUUGUAUUUUCCUAUUAAAACGUUAUAUUUUACAGACUCUUCUAAGUUCUUUGGAUGAAUAUAGUAGGCACAAUAUACUCCAUCAGUAUAAUGCUGACUGGAAAAAUAUUAUUGGGGGGUUUUCCAUAAGAAACAACAGCAAAUGCUGAAAAUCUUAUCAUCCAGGGUGCUGUUGAUUUUUUUUCUCUUUUCCAUUAUUUAUAGGGGACAGCUACAGGCACACCACUCACUCUGUAAUAUUCCUACAGAAACAACAACCAUCUGGGUGCUGGGGUGGGUGCACUGAGCCCUAGGGUGCCUUUAGCCAGUUCACUUGGAAUCUCGAGUCUGUCCUGUCCUAUCACCCAGCAGCAAUGGAACAUUUGUUCCCCGAAGGGCCGGCACGCUGCCAGCAGCAGGUGUUAGGCUGUCCUCUGGGAUGAAGGCAGCAGGCAUGAGCACUGAUGUGUGCCCAUGACAAGAUGUUGCAAAUCUGCUCUCAUAGCGACGGUGACAGCAUCUGGGACAGUGUUGUGAGUCACCAUUCUGUAACCAUUAAAAACCAGUUGCCAUUCCUUUCAUAAUAAUAAAUUAAAAUAUCAUUCCAAAGCGUGCUGGUCUCAGGAAGAAAAUUAAAGAAGGCAUGUAGGGAUAAACACAUGUGUGUGCACUGGCAUACAUGGUGUUACAGUGUGUGUUAUCCCACUGUGUUCAAAUGAUUCGGUCUUAAAUUAGCAGGUACAAUUGAUGGAUAGGAUAGGGUUGUGGCUACUAUUCAGACUGCAUUUUUAGAUUUUAC